rnacentral:rRNA from 1 species
AGAAGGCCUUCGGGUUGGUUAAAGACUCUUUCUAGUUGAAAAGAAAAAGACCGUGACUAAUAAUCAUGGUUCAUGACGGUAUCAACAGAAGAAGCACCGGCUAACUACGUGCCAGCAGCCGCGGUAAUACGUAGGGUGCAAGCGUUAAUCGGAAUUACUGGGCGUAAGGGUGCGCAGGCGGUUCUGUAAGUCAGAUGUGAAAUCCCCGGGCUUAACCUGGGAACUGCGUUUGAAACUGCAGAGCUAGAGUGCGGCAGAGGGGAGGUGGAAUUCCAUGUGUAGCAGUGAAAUGCGUAGAGAUAUGGAAGAACAUCGAUGGCGAAGGCAACCUCCUGGGCUAGCACUGACGCUCAUGCACGAAAGCGUGGGGGAGCAAAACAGGAUUAGAUACCCUGGUAGUCCACGCCCUAAACCUAUGUCAACUAGUUGUCGGGCCUUAAUAGGCUUGGUAACGUAGCUAACGCGUGAAGUUGACCGCCUGGGGAGUACGGUCGCAAGAUUAAAACU